GUAUUUGGUAUCUGCGCUCCACUAAAGCCAGUUACCAGGUUAAGCAGUUCCCCAACUGACUUAACCUUCGAUCAAACCGCCUCCCCAGGCGGUUUUUUCGU
rnacentral:antisense_RNA from 1 species